UUUUGGAAUUGUUAGUUAGAUUACUUGUUGGUUAUUACUGCAUUGUCGGAACUAGAAGCACAAGCAUUUCGCUACACUCGCAUUAACAUCUGCUAACCAUGUGUAUGUGACAAAUAAAAUUUGAUUUGAUUUGAUUUGAUGGUUGAGAUAUCCCUCUAGUGGUUUGGGGGUUUGGGGGCAAAGUGGGUGGGGUUAUAUCCUGCCUGUUUGGCCCUGCCCGGGGGUAUCGUCGGACGGGGCCACAGUGUCUCCUGACCCAUCCUGUCUCAGCCUCCAGUAUUUAUGCUGCAAUUGUUUAUGUGUCGGGGGGCUAGGGUCAGUCUGUUAUAUCUGGAGUAUUUAUCUUGUCUUAUCCGGUAUCCUGUGUGAAUUUAAGUAUGCUCUCUCUAAUUCUCUCUCUCUCUUUCUCUCUCUCUCUCUCUCUCUCUCUCUCUCUUUCUUUCUUUCUUUCUUUCUUUCUUUCUCUCUCUCUCUCUCUCUCUCUCAGAGGACCUGAGCCCUAGGACCGUGCCUCAGGACUACCUGGCCUGAUGACUCCUUGCUGUCCCCAGUCCACCUGGUCGUGCUGCUGCUCCAGUUUCAACUAUUCUGCCUGCGGCUAUGGAACCCUGACCUGUUCACCGGACGUGCUACCCUUCCCAGACCUGCUGUUUUCAACUCCCUAGAGACAGCAGGAGCGGUAGAGACUCUCUGAAUGAUAUGCUAUGAAGAGCCAACUGACAUUUACUCCUGAGGUGCUGACCUGUUGCACCCUCUACAACCACUGUGAUUAUUAUUGUUUGACCCUGCCGGUCAUCUGUGAACAUCUUGGUCAUGUUCUGUUAUAAUCUCCACCUGGCACAGCCAGAAGAGGACCGGCCACCCCUUAUAGCCUGGUUCCUCUCUAUAGGUUUCUUCCUAGGUUCUGGCCUUUCUAGGGAGUUUUUCCUAGCCACUGUGCUUCUACACCUGCAUUGCUUGAGUUUGGGGUUUUAGGCUAGGUUUCUGUACAGCACUUUGUGACAUCAGCUGAUGUACGAAGGGCUUUAUAAAUACAUUUGAUUGAUUGAUUAAUCUUACCCAUUAGGAUUAACACUGCAGUUUUGGAGAGCUAACAGCAGUUUUGGAGAACUAACACAGCAGGUUUGGAGAGCUUACCCAUCGGUUUAGGAUAAUUUACCCUGCAGGUUAGGGGAGCUUACACAGCAGGUUAUGAGAGCUGAUCUGAUCUAAUCUGAUGUUUAGGAGAGCUAACACUGCAGAUAGGGUUAAUUAACACAGCAGGUUAGGAGAACGUACUCAGCAGUGUGGGAGAAUCAACCCUGCAGUUUACAAGAAUUUACACAGCAGGUUAGGAGAACAAACAAAGCAGGUCAGGAGGACUUACCCAGCUUAACCCAGCAGGAGAAUUAACACAGCAGGUUAGGAGAACUUACGCAGCAGGUUAGGAGAAUUAACACAGCAUGUUAGGAUAAUUUUUACUUUAACUUUACCUACAUGUACAUAUUACCUCAAUUUCCUAAACUAACCGGCGCCCCUGCGCAUUGACUCUCUAGCGGGUUCCCCUGUAUAUAACCUCGCUACUGUUAUUCUACUGCUGCUCUUUUAACUUUUUACUCAUCUAUUUUUUACUUAACACUUUUUCUUAAAACUGCAUUUUUGGUUAAGAGCUUGUAUGUAAACAUUUCACUGUAAGGUGAACAACACCUGUUGUCUUCUGCGCAUGUGACAAAUACAAUUUUAUUUUAAUUUAAUUGAAUUAGGUUCAUGUUAGGAAAAGGGUUAGGGUUAGCUAAAAUUCACAAAACAAAUCUACUUUUGACGUUAAUUUGACAAAAGCAGGAUCCCUUCUAGCCUUGACCUGAUUUCCCGGAUGGAUGUCAAUUUACAGUUUCAAAAACGUGUUGGGGUGAUUCUCCGUCAACUUACUGGAAUGGACCAGCCAGCAACUGGCAUUCUUACCUUAGAAUGAGACCACCUGAAAAUGUCAAUUAGAAAUGUCUGCCAAAUGGAACAGGUGAGAGAGGAUGCAUUGUGCUGGACAGGUACUGUAGGCCUGUAAAUAUUUUGUAUCUUACCUUGGUCAACUGUUUUGUCAAUUUCAUUCUGCCGUGAGUCCUUUGAUGGGACUACAGAGCCAGUGUCAAUGCUUUUCCAGGAAUGCUAUCAUGGUCAAGAUAAUUAACUUCAACCAGAGAUGGGUCAACCUUGUUUCUUCUGGUACGUAACUCAAAUUUGCAUAUUGGACUUAUACAUUAAGUGUUUGUUUGUUUAUUCUUAUGUCUUGUCUUGUGAGCUGACAGUAUGGUUUGGUGUCACAAGCCCACCUGUAAUGGUCAUGUCAGUGUAGGUUAUAGGCUAGACCUAUCUCCAUAGGCCUAUCUAACCCUAUAACACACAGCCUAAUCUUGUAGGUAUGGAAGAACCUUGGGAAGGGCCAUUUCAGGCACUAAUCUGAUGAUGACUGAAGAAGAUAUAGAAUUUUUUUUUUUUGUUCUAUCUAAGUAGACAAGCUUUUCAAAUAGCAUUUACUUCUCCCGGUGUCCUAGAAUUGUUGUAAGCCUCCCUCAAGUAAAAAAAUCAGAAAUUCUGAUUCCUCUUUGCCAUUGUUUUGUGGAUAAUAAUUACAUCAAAUAGACAUAAUUGGUGUGUGCUAUAUGUUGAUAUUUUCUUGUCACGUUGUAGGCCUAAUGAUUUCCUGCUUUCCUGUCAUGUAUUUGUGCUUUGGGCAGAGUUAACAUGUUUUAAUUUAUUCGUAUAGCCACAUUGAUCCCUUUUUACCAGUCAUAUGACGAAAACCAUUCAGCCAAGUCAAGCAUAGAAAUGAACAGGCUGUAAUACCACCCCAGCACUUUCUACGAUGAAUCUGUAACGAUAGAAGCUGAAGCAGCCAAACCACUGGAACACAGUGGGACGGAACAAAUUAUGUUGCAGCCAAUUGAGUGGCGUUAGAAUACAUCAAUCUGCAUCUUGUAAUGGCGUGCACACAGAGCCAUAACGCUGAUUGAUUCGGGCCUGUCAUUUCUAGGAACAAGUUUAGAACUGUACAGAGAGCAAUGUGGUUGUGAGCAAGAAAUAUGUAAAAGCAUCUGUUACAGACCGAAGAUCUUAUUUGAGUUAAUAAUGCUCAAUGAGAUCAAGCACACAGAAACUAAACAAGAUUUAAUGAACAUAGUAAGGUAAUGAGACCUCUUAUGCUCAUCAUUAUUCAUGACAAACUGACAAUGAGUCAAUGCCCAUAGCUCAUAAGAGCAGAGUGCUACUGUACAUGUGUGUCAAUGAGAGAGUAAUUGCAGUUAUUGUUGAGCAUGACUGUGUCAGAUUGGCAAAACACCAGCACUAAAAAGCUGAGUCAGACAACGUACACCAGAUCAGACUAGUGAACCCUGGUGUCCUAGUUUCUCUAUGUCCCAACUACAGGAUUCAUGCUGAUAGAGAGAUCCAAAUGAUUUUUGCUAGCUAGAUCACACCAAUGAUCACACACACAUCCUUUUCCUUAUUUGUGCUGUUUCUCACACUAGGAAGUUUUGACAACCCCCAUGAAACAGGCAUUCUCACUACUAGUAGUAGAUAAAAUAAGAUCUCAGAUGGAUCAGAGAAAAACAUGUGAAGGCUGAGAAGAGGUGACCUGUUAAAGUAAUGGUCUAAUUAUGGAAAAGGUGAUUCAAUUCUCGUUACAGAUGUGAUCUUCCUGUCUGGGUUGCUCCCCCCCCCCCCUUGGGUUGUGCUGUGGCAGAGAUAUUUGUGGGCUAUACUCGGCCUUGUCUCAGGACGGCAAGUUGGUGGUUGAAGGACCUGAGCCCUAGGACCAUGCCUCAGGACUAUCUGGCAUGAUGACUCCUUGCUGUCCCCAGUCCACCUGGCCAUGCUGCUGCUCCAGUUUCAACUGUUCUGCCUGCGGCUAUGGAAUCCUGACCUGUUCACCGGACAUGCUACCUGUCCCAGACCUGCUGUUGUCAACUCUCUAGAGACAGCAGGAUUGGUAGAGAUAAUCUUAAUGAUCGGCUAUGAAAAGCCAACUGACAUUUAGUCCUGAGGUGCUGACUUGCUGCACCCUCGACAACUACUGUGAUUAUUAUUAUUUGAUUAUUAUUAUUUCAUAGCCUGGUUCCUCUCUAGGUUUCUUCCUAGGUUUUGGCCUUUCUAGGGAGUUUUUCCUAGCCACCGUUCUUCAACACCUGCAUUGCUUGCUGUUUGCGGUUUUAGGCUGAGUUUCUGUACAGCACUUUGAGAUAUCAGCUGAUGUACGAAGGGCUAUAUAAAUACAUUUGAUUUGAUUAUACAUCGUGUGGUUCGAGCCCUGAAUGCUGAUUGGCUGACAGCCGUGGUAUAUCAGACCUUAUACCACGGGGAAUGACAAAACAUUUAUUUUUACUGCUCUAAUUACAUUUCUAACCAAUUUAUAAUAGCUAUAAGGCACCUCGGGAUUUGUGGUAUAUGGCCAAUAUACCACAGUUAAGGGCUGUGUCCAGGCACUCCACGAUGCGUCGCGCCUAAGAACAGCCGUUAGCCGUGGUAUAUUGGCAAUAUACCACACCCCUCGUGAUUUAUUGCUUGAGUGCGAAAUUCUCAAGAUAUCAGCAACAUGCUAACUGUGGAAGCCAUCAGCUAUUACAUUGUUUUUAAUGUGCGUCACAUCUCACGCUGAGGAUUGUGGGGUAAAAUGAAUGAUGGCUAUGGCAGUUUCUGUGGGGGAGCAGUGCAGAUGUAGAAAGUGUGCAGAUCAUUACAGAUGGCAUGAGGGAGGGCUUCAUUAAAACCCAGGCCCCUUUGUUCAUGUUCUUUAUUUAUGGCACUCUUAUCACUCUGGUCCAUGCUAAAUAUAAUUUGAUUACAACGUCAUGCUGUCAUUUUGGUCCACAUUUUUGCAGAAACUGGGAUUGACUAUUGAUAGUUAUCUCUCAAAAUCUGCAAAAUUGCAAAAUCAUUAUGAAGUACUGCUCAGUGAAUUUUUCAGUGAAAGAAAAGGCUAAAUUAAAAAUAUAUGCUUUAGUGAUCUGCCCACAUAGUUUCAACGUUGAUCCAAACGGCAGGGGGUUUCCUCCUUGUGUGUAAAGGUCAUCUGCUGUGUUUUCUAAUUUGCUGACACUAGUCUGGGGACUUUAAAGAGGGAGAUUUCUUUGUGACCAACUUACCACGGAGGGUAAUAAUAGCCGUAUCUCGACCUGGGAAAUCUUCAACGCCCCAAUGCCCCCAUCAACUGCGUGAACCCAUUACUGGCGGAUGUGUCUCAUUUCAAAUAUUAUUCCAUUUCCCCCUCUUCUGUCUGCCCAUAAAGAACUCCCAUGUCUCCUGAAUAGCUUAUAAUAACAUGUUUUAAGAAGCCCACCCUUAGUGCCCCAAAGGAUCCAGCAUUGCAAUGCAGCAGUCUGCUAUAUAAUAUCCAUGCUUUUCUGUGUGUAAUUAAAGGUCAGUUUGGGUUAUAGCCCUGUGUUGCCUUGAAUGACAAAUCUCCCAUGCUUUCUCUCUCUUCCCGAAACGUGAUGGCUUUGCCAAAUGUGAUUAAAUCUAUUUUUGCGCCAUCUGUUUUCUUGGCACUAAAAUGCAUUAGUUGAAAGUGUACCUCUUACCAGCACACUAAAAUGUCUCAUCAG
ensembl:lncRNA